UUAUAUAACAAUUCUGUUAGAUGAAGAAAUUGAGAACUUAGGAGUUGUAGCAUCUUGUCCAUGGUCACACAGGUUUCAAAUCCAGGUCUCAUCUGAUUCAAGUGCUAUUUUCAUUACACCACUCUGCCUAUUUCUUAGAGACUUUAUUAAAUCUUUAUGAUUUCAUUGGUCAAAAUUAGAAACGCCAGUUGUCUCCAUCCCUUAAUGCAUUUCUAUUUUAAGUAAUUUUACCACUAUAUGCCUGCACUCUCAUGUUUGAAACCUCCAAUUUUCAACCAGUUAAUAUUACGGUGAUCAAGAAUUAGUCCACCAAGAGAUUGUGUGCCAGUUGUCCUUGGACCAUUCCAGCAUGUAAACAGAUGAACAUGUCUCUGCAAAGGAACAAAGAUCCAGACAGUUAUAGGACAAAGAGAAAAGUAGCACCAUCUGAAAAUAAACAAGCCUGAACUUCAUCUACACUGAAUGAUUUUAAAACCAAAAGAUAUCUUGACUUGGUGAAUACAGGGCCAGCUUCAGAGUCAGGAAAAUCCAAUUUUAAGUCCUGUACACAUGAAGAAACUAAAGGAACAAAGUGUGUGUGUGUGUGUGUGUGUGUGUGUGUGUGUUUAGAGGUGGGAGUUAUUGAUGUACCCAAAGUCACAGCCUUCAAACAAAGAUCUUCUGAUAUCAGACAUCACUCCUUAGAAAACAUCGAGAUCAAUUCUGUCACCUAAAGCUGAUGGAUCUGAGGCCCACUGUCUCCUGGGAAGUCGAGGGGUAAAGUAGGUAUUCAGCCCAAGGUCAUCUUUCUCCAAAUACUGUAUUCUUUUCACUUCAACAACCUUACAAAUGAGAACAUUUUGUCUAUUGUCUAUUUAGUGAUAAAACAUGGAAAUACUUUUCUAAACAUGUAUAAAUUAAUGAAUGAUAUUAAUAAAAUGGAAUUAUAUAGUAAGAUAAAGCCA
rnacentral:lncRNA from 1 species